rnacentral:rRNA from 1 species
CCGGCGAGGGGAGUGAAAAAGAACCUGAAACCGUGUACGUACAAGCAGUGGGAGCACCCUUUGGGGUGUGACUGCGUACCUUUUGUAUAAUGGGUCAGCGACUUAUAUUCUGUAGCAAGGUUAACCGUAUAGGGGAGCCGGAGGGAAACCGAGUCUUAACCGGGCGUUAAGUUGCAGGGUAUAGACCCGAAACCCGGUGAUCUAGCCAUGGGCAGGUUGAAGGUUGGGUAACACUAACUGGAGGACCGAACCGAC